rnacentral:rRNA from 1 species
UACGAAGGGGGCUAGCGUUGCUCGGAAUUACUGGGCGUAAAGCGCACGUAGGCGGCUCGUUAAGUCGGGGGUGAAAUCCUGGAGCUCAACUCCAGAACUGCCUUCGAUACUGGCGAGCUCGAGUUCGGGAGAGGUGAGUGGAACUGCGAGUGUAGAGGUGAAAUUCGUAGAUAUUCGCAAGAACACCAGUGGCGAAGGCGGCUCACUGGCCCGAUACUGACGCUGAGGUGCGAAAGCGUGGGGAGCAAACAGG